GACGAACGCUGGCGGCGUGCCUAAUACAUGCAAGUCGUGCGGACCUUGUUGAAAGCUUGCUUUUAAAAGGUUAGCGGCGGACGGGUGAGUAACACGUGGGCAACCUGCCUGUAAGACUGGGAUAACGCCGGGAAACCGGGGCUAAUACCAGAUCGUUUUUUCCUCCGCAUGGAGGAAAAAGGAAAGGCGGCUUCGGCUGCCACUUACAGAUGGGCCCGCGGCGCAUUAGCUAGUUGGCGGGGUAAUGGCCCACCAAGGCAACGAUGCGUAGCCGACCUGAGAGGGGGAUCGGCCAAAUUGGGACUGAGACACGGCCCAAACUCCUACGGGAGGCAGCAGUAGGGAAUCUUCCGCAAUGGACGAAAGUCUGACGGAGCAACGCCGCGUGAGUGAAGAAGGCCUUCGGGUCGUAAAACUCUGUUGCCGGGGAAGAACAAGUGCCGUUCGAACAGGGCGGCGCCUUGACGGUACCCGGCCAGAAAGCCACGGCUAACUACGUG
rnacentral:rRNA from 1 species